UCUCAGGUAAUAUGUAAAAAUAAUCAUGUAUGGUUGUAUCACAAAAUUAUUUUGCUAAUGAUCAAAUUUAUAAUUAGUAAAUUUAUACAAAAUAUCGAGGAAAAUAUGUAUCCGGUCAUAUGUUAUUCUAAGCUAUCUUGUGACGUAGAUUUCGAACGACUUUUUAAGUUUGGGACAUUUAAUUUCGCUUAUUAUUUAAAUGCAGAGUCAUUUGAUUUUGAGUUCCAAAGUUAGAAGUGAGGGUUAAACAAGAUAAUUACCACGUAGCUGGGAGAUUUUCCAACCAAACGCCAACUUUUGUGUACUCAACGUGCAUUGAAUAGAGUUACUCGUUUGAACUAGUUGUGCUGUCAUUCACAACUCAGUGUCAUGGAAAAAAAAUAGUCUACCACCUGACUGAUUUAAUAGCCAGCUCAAAGUAAUUGAUUUCCGGCUCCCAUUACGUAAUGUCGUCCCACAUUUCUUCCAUAACAAGUUCAUUUUCACUCUUCACUUGCACAUUACAAUGAUACAAAAGUCUUUCUGAUACGAGGACUACGAUCGUCACUUCACGUUGUGGACGGACGUAGCAUAGGGCCACCGCCGAACAAUUCGGCGUUGAUAAUAUAUUGUUUUAAAACGAAAUAUUUUCUACAGCCAACGGCUACUUUAUCACAUAAAUUUGAUUCUGGGUUGAUAUCUAAUUUGACGCAUUUGAGUUCCGAAUGAGGUUGUCGGGACGAAAGAAUUCUUACGUACCCAAAACAAUUGGUAGUGUUUCGUAUGACGUGGGAUAGCUGGUACCAAUGUUGGUAUGAUCAUCAGAUUAUAAUCGUUCGAUGAGCAACAAUAUAAUAAUAAUAAUCAAAAACAGUUAAUAUUUAAAUGCCAUCUCAAACACUACGUGAUCCGAUAUCCACCCCAGGAAGAACUCCAUCUAGUGUGCAGUUUUGUUUCACGAUAACAAUUCAAACACUUGUGGAAUUGCAAAUGGCCGUUAACGUUCUUUAAGUAGAAAAAUUAAAAACAGUAGUAAAUGCGAGUUUUCGAUGGUUGUCGCCAUCGACAAGGUUUCUAUCUCCACAGCGGACUUCAUGCCCGUGAAGCAUGGCAAGGCUAAAAUGCGGGAGAAUCUGUGGUGUAAUUCCCAGACAGGAAAAAAAAGUUUUGUGAGUAAUCACUUUGUUUUUGCUAUUAGUUAAGUCUUAACAAAGGAAAACCAUCGUUUCUAAAGUGAACCUUGCUUCUAAUUUUAUCUGGCAUCGCUUCGACUGAUUUUGUUUUCAAUCAUCUGAAUUGUUACAUGUUAAGACGACAUUAUUGUAACGGGCUAUUUUAAACUCUAUUUCUACUAGUGCGAGCUUUUAUAAUCUUGGGAACUCCCAUCUCUACCCUUUUCGAUCUGUUCUUCGCUUCUGCACUUAUAAGCUUCGCACUCCAAACAUUAACAUUGAAGUACGAGUUUCAUCUUGAGGCAGCAAGCUUAGACUGUAAAGUGAAUAUGGCAUCUGCAGUAAAGCUACUCUUACACUUCUAAAGGGCAUUUGAUAGGUAAAUCACCAUAUGUCGCAAUCAACGUAUUAAUGUGGUUUUCCUGUGCCGAUUUGUGGUCGACUGAAGAUGAAAAUUUAAACAGGUUUAUAGUCAGCUGCUAAGGUUCAACUAUUCAAUAAACAGGAAAGAAAUAAGUCCAUGUGCCUAUCCAGAAAACAGUUGGUGGUUAUUAACUGUUCGUCACGCAGAACGUUUGGUGACAGCCAAUUUGAAGAGCCUCGUCCAUCAUCAGGGUGCCAUUGAAACUGUUCCAGCAAGCGUUAAUACCACCAAUGAUCACCACUAGUAGAAAUUACGACUUUCCUCUUAUUGGCGGGGACGCAAGAUCACCACGAACGACACAAGCUCGAACGAUCAAGUUCUAUCGCCGAACUAAUGAAUGUUAGUCCCCCCACCCCCCUUCUGUGUACAUCAGGAACAGGCAGAUGUAAACAGCCUACAUGGAGCAGCAGAGCCCGCGAGUCAUCAUGAAACACUGACUCCAUCACAACAACCACACCGCUGAGGAAAAUUCCAUGCCAUCACGCGCCUGCCCGCCAUCCAAUCAGCUCACCAGUCACGAGCCGAACAUUACGUUUGAAAAGGAGAGCCAAGGGAUAUAUGGGAGGAGACGGCAAAAGGUCGCUUUGCUUUUGUUUGCCGUUCAACUCGGGUACCUCGGUUUCCCAUAAGGCAAUCGUCGCCUUUCAUCCCAUUUUGAUAAAGGAAUCCGCACCCAAUUUAUCGAUGGAAAAUUUUCUCUUUCAAAACUCAGUUACACAAUUUGCAACGUUGCUCGGUCUGGAGAACGUAUCUAAUUUUUGUCUUCCACGUUGCUGUGUCGCCACAGGCUGUCAGUGCCCUGAUAAUGAUCAAAAAUUAUCUCUUUGUACGUAUAGCAACGGCCACCGGGGAAACAGUUCCUGAUGUCAAAACUGUCGGCGCUGAUUGGUCGUAACAUUGAACGGACGAAAAAGGACGAAAAUUGUUCAACAGGAAAAUUGAGCCGUGAUGGACAAGUGUCUAAAGAAGAAACAGUUGGGAGUGUGAAGAAUUUUGCGCGUCGGAAACGGUGGCGAUCAGGUGCUAUUGGAGAGUAGUAUUCGACUGGCCGCUUAGCCGCACAUCUUGCCUGUCUAUAUAUACACGCACGGGUCGGCGCUCUCUUUUCCUCGUUUUCUUGGAUAGCUUUGCCACUCGCGCGCCAUUGCCUUUCGACUACUUUAUGAUACGACCGGAACUCGGGCGGGGACCCAGCGUUUGCUACGAUGCGCAUCACUAACAUGACACCACAAAAUUUCCUUCUUGGAAAAUGUCUGUUUUUUUUCGCGGGAAAUUGCGACUUCAUUGACGAUGACAUUUAAAUUUGUAGGAUUUCCCUACGGUGGUGUUUCAUGUGAGAAAUUAGAAUUUUGCUAUCCAGCCCAAACAAAUCGUCUGAUGGAUUCAAGUCUCGCGAAUUAACGCAUACGCACCACUGGAUAGCCCCCUCGGUAGUAACAAUAUUUUCAUCCAAGUUAGUCGAUGCUUGCGUGAUAUACUUCUGCACGGCAAGACUCCACACGCAAGUGUUUGCUACGUACGUAUACAACGUGCAUCAUGUUAUCGACUUAUGCCGAUUUUGUGGUACAUAAAGAAGUAUACCAUUACGAGACACAUUGUGUAAAGGUAAAUAUUACAGUCAAAAUCUAUAUUAGGUAACAUUGACAAUAUGGUAAUGUACCUGAAAGUUACGUCCGUCAAUCAUUUGCUUUCACGAUUUGCAAAAUUAAUUCCUGUUGUGCAAUAUCGUGCGUGGAAAUGAGAGUUGCUAUAGAAACAUAUUUGCAUGUCAAAUGGUUAUGAAUGAAAUCCAGCGUCGCAAAUUGACGAUGUGCACGGAAAAUGAAAGGAAGAUAUCAAUUGCUUACACGAUCCAAGUAGUCGUUGCCAUGGAAACGAUAUUAAAUAUACGUGAACCACUACUAGCAAGAAAAUGGCUGCUAAACUACAGGUUAACAUGGAAAAUACAGUUCAAUUUAACAAAUAACAAUUCAGUUAUUGGGAUUCUGGUAAAUGGUUUUUAAAUUAUAGCAUACUUACAACUGGGUUAUGUGGUAAUUAAUGAUGCUGAGCAAAAGGCUUUUCUGUUCAAUGACUGAACAUCUUUUUGUAAUCAAAAUUCAAAAGAGAUCAAUAAGCAAAGAAGUUUUGAAGAACACACGCACAAAAAAGAAAGAAAUUUACCAAUUAAUAAACAAAGGGCUUUUUAGUAAUC